CGUAGCGUGGCCGAGCGGUCUAAGGCGCUGGUUUAAGGCACCAGUCAUCUCGAUGGCGUGGGUUCGAAUCCCACCGCUGCCA
rnacentral:tRNA from 1 species